UACCUUAGUCGCCAAUAAUCAGCUAAGGACAAAUUAGUCAGCUUGGCCGACCAGAACAAUUGAGGCCUGGUCAUUCCCGGCAGAGAAGCGUAGCUGCAGACACGUUUCUAAGUGUACAUGCAAAUAGCUGCCAUACAAUCAGUAUCUUGGCUUUGGCAUGGAGACAGGUCCGUGCGUCAAGAACACUGGUAUAUGUGCUAGAUACAUGCACUAAGCUGAGGGGAUCGUCGAGACACAGCGAAAGGUUCCAGGACUAAGGCCCGGAAGGAUGCUGUGUGUGGGUCAAGAUUCAGUGAUGGUGGACAGAUACAGAUAAGUCAAUCCACGUAACAUUGUGUAGCUCGAUAUAGGAACACUGACGUAUUGGCAAAUCUGACAUGGUUUCGUUCAUACGAUGAUGCCGAUGAUGGUGAUGAUGACAAUGAUAAUCAUUGAUAUGGAGAUGACGACUCCAAUGGGAUAUGUUUGGCAUUGAUACUUUGAGUGAAAUCUAUA